GCCAGGUAUGGAUUGGACAGAGGUGCCUUUGGCCUGAUGAAAAGCCCUUUAAGUUUGUACUUAGAUGACAACCAAAAUAAACUUAAAAACUUUGAACUUGUGCCUGAACAGUAGAUAGUCACUAUUUUAUUAGCUAACAUACUGACUAGUCUAUAGUGGAUCUGACUGCCCGAUGCUGUCAAGCUGACAACCAGUAAUAUUUCAGAGAUCUGAGAAGGGUAUAUUUUAUCCGAAUCUACUGAAAAGUGACAGAAGCCAGUCUAUAUACAGUUAGCCAAACCCAAGUUUCUCCAUUACCGUUGGAGGCAGCUGUCUCAAAGACCAGCAAUCUUCGCCAGGCCUAUACUGUGAGAGUUUUUUUCCUCUCUGUGGAAGAGGGACAUGGAAAAGACUGACCUUGUUUUGUCUAGGCAAAGGGGUGCAAUCAAUUUUCCAGUGUCCAGCAGCUUUGUCCACAGUCUCGGCCAGGUUCUGGCAGGCGGCAGGUAUCACAUCUGAGCAUCUCGCUCACUGGUCCAGGUGUAGGAACUGAGGUGCCUCGUAAUCUUCUUUGGAGACUUUGGGUCACUGUCAGGAUCUGGCAGUCUGUCUGACAUUAUAAACUUUAAAGAUAACAAUUUAAAUGCCAUAUUCUGAAGAUCUCUGAAGCAUUAGAGGUCUGUUUGUCUGUUUUAGUUACUUGCCUUAAGCACACAUUAAGCAUACAGGUGGCUAGGUAAGGUCUUAUUUCUAGGCACAUGUUCGACCAUUAUGGCUGCCAAAAGGGAAGCCGGUUCCUU
rnacentral:lncRNA from 1 species